CCUGGCUCAGAUUGAACGCUGGCGGCAGGCCUAACACAUGCAAGUCGAGCGGAAACGAGUUAUCUGAACCUUCGGGGAACGAUAGCGGCGUCGAGCGGCGGACGGGUGAGUAAUGCCUAGGAAAUUGCCCUGAUGUGGGGGAUAACCAUUGGAAACGAUGGCUAAUACCGCAUGAUGCCUACGGGCCAAAGAGGGGGACCUUCGGGCCUCUCGCGUCAGGAUAUGCCUAGGUGGGAUUAGCUAGUUGGUGAGGUAAGGGCUCACCAAGGCAACGAUCCCUAGCUGGUCUGAGAGGAUGAUCAGCCACACUGGAACUGAGACACGGUCCAGACUCCUACGGGAGGCAGCAGUGGGGAAUAUUGCACAAUGGGCGCAAGCCUGAUGCAGCCAUGCCGCGUGUGUGAAGAAGGCCUUCGGGUUGUAAAGCACUUUCAGUCGUGAGGAAGGUAGUGUAGUUAAUAGCUGCAUUAUUUGACGUUAGCGACAGAAGAAGCACCGGCUAACUCCGUGCCAGCAGCCGCGGUAAUACGGAGGGUGCGAGCGUUAAUCGGAAUUACUGGGCGUAAAGCGCAUGCAGGUGGUUUGUUAAGUCAGAUGUGAAAGCCCGGGGCUCAACCUCGGAAUAGCAUUUGAAACUGGCAGACUAGAGUACUGUAGAGGGGGGUAGAAUUUCAGGUGUAGCGGUGAAAUGCGUAGAGAUCUGAAGGAAUACCGGUGGCGAAAGGCGGCCCCCUGGACAGAUACUGACACUCAGAUGCGAAAGCGUGGGGAGCAAACA
rnacentral:rRNA from 1 species